GAACCACUGGAACCCUCUCUUCGCUGCUGUAUAUUAAGUACUACUUAAUUGGACACCGAGGCGGAGAGCGAGAGAGCUCUAUAGAGAGAGAGAGAGAGAGAAGCGAGAAAGAGAUGAAGAUCCUCCACGUCCCUUGCUUAGAAGACAACUACGCCUACAUAAUCGUCGACGAGAGCACCGGAGAGGCGGCGGCCGUCGACCCCGUCGAGCCGGAGAAGGUCCUGCGAUCGGCGGCCGAGAUCGGCGCCGAUCUCAAGUUCGUCCUCACCACGCACCACCACUGGGAUCAUGCAGGUGGAAAUGAGAAGAUCAGGAUGUUAGUGCCAGGAAUUAAGGUUUACGGAGGAUCUAUUGAUAAUGUAAAAGGAUGCACCAACAAAGUGGAUAAUGGAGAUAAGUUGACAUUGGGAUCAGAUACAAGUAUACUUUGCCUCCACACGCCGUGCCACACUAAAGGUCACAUAAGUUAUUAUGUGACGGGCAAAGCUGAAGAAGAUCCUGCUGUGUUUACUGGGGACACAUUAUUUAUUGCUGGUUGCGGGAAGUUUUUUGAAGGCACUGCAGAACAGAUGUACCAAUCAUUGUGUGUGACAUUGGGUUCCUUGCCAAAGCCGACUAGAGUUUACUGUGGCCAUGAGUACACGGAAAAGAACUUGCGAUUCGCUUUAACUGUUGAGCCAGAGAAUGAGAAGAUAUCGCAGAAGCUCUCAUGGGCCCAGCGUCAACGACAAGAUGGAUUACCAACAAUUCCCUCAACCAUCGGGGAAGAGUUCGAAACUAAUCCAUUCAUGCGAGUUGAUCUACCAGAAAUACAGAUUGGGUGGAUCGAAUUUCUUAGAAAAUUUCAGGAUGUCGAUCAAGGAGUGGAGUCAUUAGAGAGUACUGGGGAUGUGCCACAGCUUGUGUUACUAAUUUGUUGAUGUACGACAAACUAGAUAUUUGUAAAAGAUAAAAUGCUCUAACUAAUGCAUUUUCCUUGGCAAUAAAUGCACGAUCCACAUAGCUCAUGCACAGUUGAGUGGAAGGUAAUAUCUGGAUUCUUAUGUGCUUGGGAAUGUGAAAAGCUCAUGCUUUACUGCUGUACCGUUAGAUUCUCUUUCUAUGUUUUGGAGCUUCCUCUAGAUUCUUUUUCAACAAGAACACACCUCAUCGAGGUAAAUAAGGCAAAUGUUAGAUUGUCGCACGUUGCUGCUACCUCAAGAAGUUCAUCCUGUAAGUAGUUUCAAUCUAGAAUUUGAAAGGAAAGGCGGUACUGAAUUAGGUUGCCUCUCAUGAGUUUUAUGAUUUAAUGGAUGGAAAUGAUUAAAGGGAUAAUCUAACGGUGGAAAAUUUAAUAGCACCAAGUACUUUGUGCUAUUAGAAGCAUCCCAGUCGGACUCUUUCUUCGUGAUGUCCACAAACAAAGUUGGUUGCGGUUCUCCCGUCGAAGCCCUCAAGGAAAUAAGGAGGCUAAAAGACAACUGGAGAGGUUGAUUAAUACUAGCCUGCUUUCUGAGUUUCAAGAUGCAUGUUAUAUAAGGCUCUACUUGUGUUCUGUUGCAGCUGGACAAAGUAUGUUGUGAACUUUAUAACCCAGAAAUAAGUAAAUGUGCUGCAGCUGCAACUACUGGGUAAGUAAAUGCAAAUAUGCAAUGCGACGACUCUCUUAUGAUGCCUAAUACUCUCUAAUAAUCUAAUAGUGCACAAACUA